GUUGAACGCUGGCGGAAUGCUUUACACAUGCAAGUCGAACGGCAGCACGGGAGCUUGCUCCUGGUGGCGAGUGGCGAACGGGUGAGUAAUGCGUCGGAACGUAUCCAUUAAUGGGGGAUAACGCAGCGAAAGCUGUGCUAAUACCGCAUACGCCCCGAGGGGGAAAGCAGGGGAUCGUCAAGACCUUGCGUUAUUGGAGCGGCCGAUGUCUGAUUAGCUAGUUGGUGGGGUAAAGGCCUACCAAGGCGACGAUCAGUAGCUGGUCUGAGAGGAUGAUCAGCCACACUGGGACUGAGACACGGCCCAGACUCCUACGGGAGGCAGCAGUGGGGAAUAUUGGACAAUGGGCGAAAGCCUGAUCCAGCCAUUCCGCGUGAGUGAAGAAGGCCUUCGGGUUGUAAAGCUCUUUCAGCAGGGAAGAAACGAUCCUGGUUAAUACCCGGGAUUAAUGACGGUACCUGAAGAAUAAGCACCGGCUAACUACGUGCCAGCAGCCGCGGUAAUACGUAGGGUCCAAGCGUUAAUCGGAAUUACUGGGCGUAAAGCGUGCGCAGGCGGUUUUUCAAGUCUGAUGUGAAAGCCCCGGGCUUAACCUGGGAACUGCGUUGGAAACUGAAAGACUAGAGUGCGGCAGAGGGGGGU
rnacentral:rRNA from 1 species